rnacentral:snRNA from 1 species
UUUUUGGCAUACAGAGUCACUGUAAUUGAUAACUUCUUGAAUAAAAAAACAAUUUGAGAGUUCACUGAUCUUAUGGUGCUAAGUCAUGCCUAUAUUAAAUACAAUUAUCGGAUCUUUGUUGAUAUUUCAUUGUGCUUGUUGCACUCGUCUCUGAUAUUAACAUUAUCCCAAGUUUUUACAAUUAA